GACGAACGCUGGCGGCGUGCCUAAUACAUGCAAGUCGAACGCUGAAGGAGGAGCUUGCUCUUCUGGAUGAGUUGCGAACGGGUGAGUAACGCGUAGGUAACCUGCCUGGUAGCGGGGGAUAACUAUUGGAAACGAUAGCUAAUACCGCAUAAGAGUAGAUGUUGCAUGACAUUUGCUUAAAAGGUGCAAUUGCAUCACUACCAGAUGGACCUGCGUUGUAUUAGCUAGUUGGUGGGGUAACGGCUCACCAAGGCGACGAUACAUAGCCGACCUGGGAGGGUGAUCGGCCACACUGGGACUGAGACACGGCCCAGACUCCUACGGGAGGCAGCAGUAGGGAAUCUUCGGCAAUGGACGGAAGUCUGACCGAGCAACGCCGCGUGAGUGAAGAAGGUUUUCGGAUCGUAAAGCUCUGUUGUAAGAGAAGAACGAGUGUGAGAGUGGAAAGUUCACACUGUGACGGUAUCUUACCAGAAAGGGACGGCUAACUACGUG
rnacentral:rRNA from 1 species